UUCCAUUCCAAACCGUGGUGGAUUGGCGUCAGAGCCGUAGCUCGAGUCCGCGGCCAAUUCCUGAUCCAUGGAUCAGUGCCCGUUAAUGACGUCAAUGGGCUAGAGUAAAUGAAGAAAUGGGUAGGUGGGGAUAUGGCAGGCUCCUUCCUCUCGCACCUGGGUCGGGUUCUAUCGGGGCAGCUCGGUGGCGACAACAGCAGCUCUUCUAGGGUUCGAGAAUCUUUGCUCCGGCGCGCAUGGAGUUUUUGAUGCCGUCAUUCAACAGUAGAACUCUGAUUGAAGAGGUGACUGACAGAUCCGCGCCCCGCCACUUGAAGCACUCGCAGCUACCACUUCAACGUCGGGCAGCGACCUAACAGGGUGACGCAGCGGCGACCUAACAGGGAGUGGAGAUAAGCCAGAGGCUUCAGAAACUUCCAUAGAGCAGGUUGAUUCAAAGACGUCUGGGUGGACACAAAGAGUCAGGAUCGGAGCUGCCGCGCCACGUUGUGCCCCAUGCCCAGAUAAGAUGACGGCAUUGGAGAAAUCAGUCCGCGUCUUUGCCGAGGCCCCUAGGGAGAAUGUCAUUGUACCAAACUUAGGGGUCACUUUUGAUACACUAGGCGAGACCUAUGAUUUCUACAAUACGUAUUCAUGGAAGAAAGGAUCCGGAAUUCGAUAUGAGAAGAGUAGGCUAAAUGUCAAUCGGACAAGAUGCGUGGUAUGCUUCCGUUUGUUGAAACCUUUUACAAUAUGCAUAUCUGUUUUUAGAUUGUCUGCACUUGUUUAGCUGAAAGUUGGUAGUAUGAAAUGGUUGCAGGGAAAACCAAACCCAAUUUCUGAAACCAAGCACCUGUUGAAUUCAUCGAACGACUAGAUUACUUCUACUGCUUUCUUAACUAAACUUCGGGAUGUGGGGGCUGGUGCCGCCUUUCCUUCAUUAGCACUGGACGAGUGUUCAGCGUCUUGUGGUGAUACUUGUUGAGCCGCGACAUCACAACUGCCUGAGUCGGACAUGAUUAUAGCCUGUAGAUAACGUUGUGAGUGCUUAAGCAAUGUAGAAAUCAUGUAUCACAUAGCGUGCGGUCCCUAUGUCUAGUGAUAUCAGACAUGCAAACUGCAAUGCUU